rnacentral:tRNA from 1 species
ACCUGAGUGGCUCAGUUGGUUAAGCAUCUGACUUCAGCUCAGGUCAUGAUCUCGCAAUUCGUGAGUUCAAGCCCCACAUCGGGCU